UUCCUCAGUCGCUAAUUAUCCGUCACAGUAAAAACAUUAGCAGUAAAAUAUAUAAAAAUUGAAAAUUUUUUCAAAAGUAAAACAUCAUCAUCCCUUUUUCUUUAAAGUCUAUUUCAGAUAUUUGGCAAAAAUGGAAUGCGCUCACUGCAACCGUACCAUGGAUGGCUGCGCGUCUAUCAAGUGUAGCCUGUGCGCCUCGCAGUACCACCUGGAGUGCGUCAGCAGCGAGACGCUGGUGCCCAGCACGAACAAUUGGUGCUGCUGCAAGUGUAAGCCCCUCAGUACCAACGUCUUAGCGACCAGUGCCGUAGAAAACAUCAUCAAAGUAUAAAUUAUAGUGACGUCGAUCGUGUUUUGGUACCAGUGUUAUGUUCAGUCUUAUUAAAGUGUAACGUUUCUAA